ACUCAAAUGAAUUGACGGGGGCCUGCACAAGCGGUGGAGCAUGUGGUUUAAUUCGAUGCAACGCGAAAAACCUUACCUACCCUUGACAUCCUUGGAAUCUUGCAGAGAUGCGGGAGUGCCGAAAGGAACCAAGAGACAGGUGCUGCAUGGCUGUCGUCAGCUCGUGUCGUGAGAUGUUGGGUUAAGUCCCGUAACGAGCGCAACCCUUAUCUUUAGUUACCAGCGAGUGAAGUCGGGAACAUUAAAGAGACUGCCAGUGAUAAGCUGGAGGAAGGCGGGGAUGACGUCAAGUCCUCAUGGCCCUUAUGGGUAGGGCAACACACGUGCUACAAUGGACGGAACAGAGGGAAGCGAAGCCGUGAGGUGGAGCAAAUCCCAGAAAACCGUUCGUAGUCCGGAUUGGAGUCUGCAACUCGACUCCAUGAAGAUGGAAUCGCUAGUAAUCGCGAAUCAGCAUGUCGCGGUGAAUACGUUCACAGGCCUUGUACACACCGCCCGU
rnacentral:rRNA from 1 species